rnacentral:rRNA from 1 species
UACGUAGGCAGCGAGCGUUGUUCGGAGUUACUGGGCGUAAAGCGCGUGUAGGCGGUCCGGUAAGUCCGCUGUGAAAGUCGGGGGCUUAACCCUCGGAUGCCGGUGGAUACUGUCGGGCUUGAGUACGGAAGAGGCGAGUGGAAUUCCUGGUGUAGCGGUGAAAUGCGCAGAUAUCAGGAGGAACACCAAUUGCGAAGGCAGCUCGCUGGGACGUUACUGACGCUGAGACGCGAAAGCGUGGGGAGCAAACAGG